CAGCCGCCACGGUAAUACGUAGGUGGCAAGCGUUGUCCGGAAUUAUUGGGCGUAAAGGGCUCGCAGGCGGUUUCUUAAGCCUGAUGUGAAAGCCCCCGGCUCAACCGGGGAGGGUCAUUGGAAACUGGGAAACUUGAGUGCAGAAGAGGAGAGUGGAAUUCCACGUGUAGCGGUGAAAUGCGUAGAGAUGUGGAGGAACACCAGUGGCGAAGGCGACUCUCUGGUCUGUAACUGACGCUGAGGAGCGAAAGCGUGGGGAGCGAACAGGAUUAGAUACCCCAGUAGUCCCUGUCUCUUAUAC
rnacentral:rRNA from 1 species